ACGUCCCAGUUCGGACUGUAGUCUGCAACCCGACUACACGAAGCUGGAAUCGCUAGUAAUCGCGAAUCAGAAUGUCGCGGUGAAUACGUUCCCGGGUCUUGUACACACCGCCCGUCACACCAUGGGAGUCGGGAAUGCCCGAAGUCAGUGACCCAACCAAAUGGAGGGAGCUGCCGAAGGCAGGUCUGAUAACUGGGGUGAAGUCGUAACAAGGUAGC
rnacentral:rRNA from 1 species